GGGUGACACAGUGAGAGAGUGAGGAAGAGGGUGACACAGUGACAGAGUGAGGGAGGGGGUGACUAGUGACAGAGUGAAGGAGGUGGUGACUGUCACUAGUCACCCCAUCCCUUCGUCUGUCUCUAAUCACCACCUCCCUCACUCUGUCACUUGUCACCCCUUCCCUCCCUCACUCUGUCACUAGUCACCCCCUCCCUCUCUCUGUCACUAGUCACACCCUCCCUCACUCUGUCACUAAUCACACCCUCCCUCACUCUGUCACUAGUCACACC